UGUCUUGCUACGAUGGACAGCCACAA
rnacentral:misc_RNA from 1 species